AAAUACUUGGACAUACAUUUAUACUCAACCAUGUAAAUAUGAGAAGUUCGUUAUGCGUCUAUAGUGAUAGCUCUGUUUGUCUUCUCUAUCUGUAUACAAAUUUCAUGUUAGCAGAUAGAGAGGGAAAAAUGAUGUCGUAGUAUAUAUGAAGAAAAGUAUAACUGACAAUAUACAAUAAUUAGCUAAUUACUACGAUGAGUUUUUUCCAGCGCUGCAUCGCCUCCUGAACAUAGGAAUUUUGUUAAUUCAGUACGUAUGGAAGGCAAGAGCGUCAGACAUAAAAACUGAUAGUACAUAUGCCUGUUGCUUAACUCAGUUACUAAUAAGAUGAGAUCGAUCAUUGAACUUCUAAACAUAUUAAUUCAUAGGAGCUCUUAUACUCUAUUUACAGCAAACAUAUUUCUGCCUGUCUGAUCUCCAUCACAAGUCUGAUUCCUAUAAUCCAAGGGGAAGUAUUAAAAACACAUGUGCGCAUAUCAGGAAACUAUCAAAGCACAAACAUAUUUCUGCACACCUGAUGUCCAUCACGCCAUGUGACUUGUAUCCCAUUAGAACGAACACAACAACCAACACAACUGAAUAGGUCCUUCCUGGUAGCCUGCAUGAGCGUCAAGGAGCCAGCCUUAACUGUAGGGACAUAUCAAGAAAAUUUGAGGCGUUCAAGCACGUGCUCACUGAAACCAAACCAAAUAUUGCCGGCAUCGGCGAGAUGUCCGUGCAGGGUUCAACUUUAGACUUUGCAGAUUGCAGACCGCCCCAGCUGGUUCCCCCCUCCCUCCAACGUGUAAUCUGGUAAGGAGAAGUGCUGCAAGAUACGACAGAAAAGGCCAAUUUUUCUUGAUAAGAUAUUAUGGAUCAAGCCUGUUUAUUGGGGAUUCUGUUAUAAAUCCAACAACCUGAUAACCGAGGGAUUUAGGAUGGGGGAUUAUUUACCGACGGCGUGGGGCGAUGGUAGAAUAGAUGAACUCCAAUUGGAUUUAGAGUGUGAUUUGCGUGCCACCACCAAUCCAACAUAUUCCUCCACUUGACAGCCUCAACUACCGAUGUCGCCUCCUUACUUCACAUUAUUGUGGAUCCUCAUCGGACGCAUCAAUCAUCCUGUAAUGCAAAACCUUGAAUAUGAUAAGGGGAAGGCAUAGAUGGACUGAAUCACGUUCUCCUUGUUGGGAAUCCAGUACGGAUGGAACCAUGAAGUCUGGGAUGGAAUAAAACACGACAUGGAGAGAUAGAGGAAGAACAUCCUUUUAAAGAGUCGUAUGUAUGGGAUAGUUGGUCAGAAGUCCAUGGCAGUUCAUCCUACAGCUGCGGAUGUGUAACAUGUAAAUACCGGUUUUACCUAUUUCCAUCUUGACCUUUGGUGACAACUUCUGCUUGGUUGUGGAACCUACACUUGACAGUUGUGACAAUAUCACAAUAUGUAAAUUUUGAAUACUGGGAUAGAGGAAUGAUUCAACAUGUCUAAGAAAAUACUACUAAUGAGUCAUACUGCAGAUUAGCCAAACUCUUGUGUCAGGCUCAGACACAUCUUUUUUAGAUCGGGAAACAAAAUACUGAUAUACUGUGCGAAAACAACUAUUUUUCAGGAAUCUAGCUUCAUGUAAGCAUGCAGAGUUGAUUUUUUACUUCCAAUUGAACAAUUACAGAAAAAAUCAAUCCUCUCAACUUCAAGGUAGGUGAUGCAAGAAAUGGAAAUGGCAAUGGCAAUGCACAAUUUAAUGUUGAUAAAAUCUGGAAUAGUUAACACAGUUUGCAAUGCAGACUACCCUCAUUGACUCUGGUGCAACUCCUGCAGUGAUAACCAGAAGUCUUAAUAAAAUUAAGUUGAAAAGUGGACAGAACACACAUUAUGAGUGAACCAUGAACAAUACUUGAUGCUAGAAAAUCUUGUAUUGAUGUGCUCAAGGUAAUUAUAUGCUAUGUCUUCCACCGAAGAAUGAAGUAUUCGCUAGCUAGUUGUGCAUGGUAAGCUUCUUCUUGAAAAGAAUUACUCAAU
rnacentral:lncRNA from 1 species